rnacentral:rRNA from 1 species
UACGAACUGUGCGAACGUUAUUCGGAAUCACUGGGCUUACAGGGUGCGUAGGCGGCUAUUCAGGUCAGGUGUGAAAGCCCCCGGCUCAACCGGGGAGUGCGGCUGCGAACUGGGUUUCUUGAGGACGAUAGAGGAGAGUGGAAUUCCUGGUGUAGCGGUGAAAUGCGUAGAUAUCAGGAGGAACACCCGAGGCGAAGGCGGCUCUCUGGGUCGUACCUGACGCUGAGGCGCGAAAGCGUGGGGAGCGAACGGG